GACGAACGCUGGCGGCGUGGAUUAGGCAUGCAAGUCGAACGGUAUCAUCCUUUCGGGGGUGAGAGAGUGGCGAACUGGUGAGUAACACGUAGGUUAUCUACCCUCAAGACGGGGACAACCCAGGGAAACUUGGGCUAAUACCGGAUGUGAGCAACUUUUAGUUGUUUGAAAGGUGGCGUAAGCUGUCGCUUGGGGAUGAGCCUGCGUCCUAUUAGUUAGUUGGUGAGGUAACGGCUCACCUAGGCAAUGAUAGGUAGGCGGCCUUAACGGGUGGUCGCCCACACUGGGAUUGAGAUACGGCCCAGACUCCUACGGGAGGCAGCAGUCGAGAAUAGUCUACAAUGGCCGGAAGGCUGAUAGUGCGACGCCGCGUGAACGAGGGAGCCCUUCGGGGUGUAAAGUUCUUUUCUAUACGAGCAGUGCUAUAUAUAUGGAUAGUAUAUAUAGAGGGAUAGUAGUAUAGGAAUAAGCAACGGCUAACUCCGUGCCAGCAGCCGCGGUAAUCAUACUCG
rnacentral:rRNA from 1 species